UUCGCUUCUCGGCCUUUUGGCUAAGAUCAAGUGUAGUAAAUUCUUUAGGAAAACCCUACAAUAAUUUCCGCAUUUCGUAUCUCUGCAUGGAUCCUGUACCUGUGGUCUGUGUAUUUAUAUACACUUUUU
rnacentral:snRNA from 1 species